rnacentral:rRNA from 1 species
UACGGGGGGGGCAAGCGUUGUUCGGAAUUACUGGGCGUAAAGGGCUUGUAGGUGGCCAACUAAGUCAGACGUGAAAUCCCUCGGCUUAACCGGGGAACUGCGUCUGAUACUGGAUGGCUUGAGUGUGGGAGAGGGAUGCGGAAUUCCAGGUGUAGCGGUGAAAUGCGCAGAUAUCAGGAAGAACACCCGUGGCGAAGGCGGCUCUCUGGGACGUGACUGACGCUGAGACGCGAAAGCGUGGGGAGCAAACAGG